rnacentral:lncRNA from 1 species
GCUAACGCAGCUGGCCUCCACCUGCUCGACGGCAUGGGUGAAGGUGCCGGGAGUGCACCCCGCCCGGGGGCCCCAAGAGCAUGUGCGAAUCGACCCAGCCCAGCUGAGCUGCGGGGCAGGCAAUGAGGCACGCAUCCUUGUAGUGGAUCAAGCAAACCUGCAGACGCAGAUUGCCUGGGAGACAAAGCAGGAGGCCAAGGAGGUGCUGGCCUGCCUGGAGCUCAGUUUCUCCAAGAGGAAGAAGGUCCCUUCGGGGAGGCUGCAUGAACCCAGGCUCAGAGUGGCUGUGUACCUCUGUCUACCCAGGCAGCCCCCUGGGACUGGCUGAAGGAAUGAGCAAGCGGGGUCUCCGGCAAGGCUCCCACCAGCUCCCUCCCGGGUUCCAGUAACGCCAGCCCCACCCUACACUGUUGCUUAGGGCUGGCUGCCUCAUUGUUCCCCGAUUUGGUCUUUAAAAAAACUAUCAUUUAGUAUUAAAUCGUGUUCCGA